CGCGUGGGAAUUUACCAAGAGUGGGGAACAACUGCUGGAAACGGCAGCUAAUACCGCAUACGCCCUAUGGGGGAAAGGGACUUCGGCCGCUCUUUGAGAAGCCCGCGUACGAUUAGUUUGUUGGUGGGGUAAGUGGCCUACCAAGACUACGAUCGUUAGCUGGUCUGAGAGGACGAUCAGCCACACUGGGACUGAGACACGGCCCAGACUCCUACGGGAGGCAGCAGUGGGGAAUAUUGGACAAUGGGCGAAAGCCUGAUCCAGCGAUGCCGCGUGAGUGAAGAAGGCCCUAGGGUUGUA
rnacentral:rRNA from 1 species